GACGAACGCUGGCGGCGUGCUUAACACAUGCAAGUCGAACGGAAAGGCCCUGCUUUUGUGGGGUGCUCGAGUGGCGAACGGGUGAGUAACACGUGAGUAACCUGCCCUUGACUUUGGGAUAACUUCAGGAAACUGGGGCUAAUACCGGAUAGGAGCUCCUGCUGCAUGGUGGGGGUUGGAAAGUUUCGGCGGUUGGGGAUGGACUCGGGGCUUAUCGGCUUGUUGGUGGGGUAGUGGCUUACCAAGGCUUUGACGGGUAGCCGGCCUGGGAGGGUGACCGGCCACAUUGGGACUGAGAUACGGCCCAGACUCCUACGGGAGGCAGCAGUGGGGAAUAUUGCACAAUGGGCGGAAGCCUGAUGCAGCAACGCCGCGUGCGGGAUGACGGCCUUCGGGUUGUAAACCGCUUUCGCCUGUGACGAAGCGUGAGUGACGGUAAUGGGUAAAGAAGCACCGGCUAACUACGUG
rnacentral:rRNA from 1 species